rnacentral:rRNA from 1 species
GACGAACCGUGCGAACGUUGUUCGGAAUCACUGGGCUUAAAGGGCGCGUAGGCGGCUCUGCACGUCCGUUGUGAAAUCGCCCGGCUCAACUGGGCGGGGUCAGCGGAUACCGCAGAGCUUGAGCAAGCUAGGGGGCAAUGGAAUUCCCGGUGUAGUGGUGGAAUGCGUAGAUAUCGGGAGGAACACCAGUGGCGAAGGCGACUUCCUGGCCUGUUCUUGACGCUGAGGCGCGAAAGCUAGGGGAGCAAACGGG